AUUGAACGCUGGCGGCAGGCCUAACACAUGCAAGUCGAGCGGAAACGAAGGGAGCUUGCUCCCAGGCGUCGAGCGGCGGACGGGUGAGUAACACGUGAGAAUCUGCCCAUUAGUGGGGGACAACUCGGGGAAACUCGAGCUAAUACCGCAUGAUCCCUACGGGGGAAAGCAGGGGACCUUUUGGCCUUGCGCUGAUGGAUGAGCUCACGACGGAUUAGCUUGUUGGUGAGGUAAGGCUCACCAAGGCGACGAUCCGUAGCUGGUCUGAGAGGAUGAUCAGCCACACUGGGACUGAGACGCGGCCCAGACUCCUACGGGGGCAGCAGUGGGGAAUCUUGGACAAUGGGGGCAACCCUGAUCCAGCCAUGCCGCGUGUGUGAAGAAGGCCUUCGGGUUGUAAAGCACUUUCGGCAGGGAGGAAGGCUUUGGCCGAAUAGGUUGAAGUACUUGACGUUACCUGCAGAAGAAGCACCGGCUAAUUUCGUGCCAGCCGCCGCCGUAA
rnacentral:rRNA from 1 species